AACUGGAGCUAGCUCUCUGCAGCUCUCACAUGGUUGCCCAGUGAAGCUAAGCAGGGCUGUGCCCGUUCAGUACCUGGAUGGGAGACCACAUGGGAAAGCUAGGUUGCAGCCGGAA
rnacentral:rRNA from 1 species